AAGUACAUAUGAAUCAAGAAGUGACACUUUGCUCUACACAUUCAUUGAAAGGGGAAAAUUUGUUCCAAAAUUUCACAAGCCUACUACUCUUCCAAAAAUUGUGCCCAAGAGGCUCAGAGAACUUGGUCAAAAAAAGCUGGCAUCCAUGUGUACCAGAAGAAGAAGGACAUGUGAUUGAGAUCCAAGAUUUAUUUGGCCCAAACUUAGAUACCAAGAAAAAGCCUCAGUUGGUCAUAAUAGAAGGGGCUGCUGGCAUUGACAAGUCAACACUGGUCAGGCAGGUGAGGAGAGCCUGGAAGGAAGGUCAGCUCUACAGGGAUCGCUUCCAGCAUGUCUUCUUCUUCAGCUGCAGAGAGCUGGCCCAGUGCAAACAGCUGAGUCUGGCUGAGCUCAUAGCACAAGGCCAGGAAGUGCCCACAGCUCCCAUCAGUCAGAUCCUGUCUCACCCUGAGAAGUUGCUCUUCAUCCUGGAUGGCAUAGAUGAGCCAGCAUGGGUCUUAGAGGACCAGAAUCCUGAGCUAUGUCUGCACUGGAGUCAAACACAGCCUGUGAACACUCUGCUGGGAAGUUUACUAGGAAAAUCCAUCCUUCCUGAGGCUUCCUUCCUGCUCACAGCUCGGAACACAGCUCUGCAGAAGAUCAUUCCUCCCUUGAAGCAGCCAUGUUGGGUGGAAGUCCUAGGAUUCGCUCAGUAUGAACAGAGAAACUAUUUUUGCAAUUAUUUUGCAAAUGAAAUAGAUGUAGUUACUGCUUUUAGGAUGUCUGAGUCUAACCCAGUGCUCCUGACCCUGUGUGACGUUCCCUGGGUGUGCUGGCUGGUCUGCACUUGCCUGAAAAAGCAGAUGGAGCAGGGUGGAGACUUCUCACUGACCUCACAGACCACCACAGCCCUCUGCCUGAAAUACCUUUCUCUGACAAUCUCAGGUCAGCACAUGAGGACCCAGCUCAGAGCCCUCUGCUCACUGGCUGCUGAGGGGAUCUGCCAAAGAAGGACCCUGUUCAGUGAAAGCGACCUCUGUAACCAAGGGUUAGCAGAGGAUGCCAUUGCCACUUUCCUGAAGAUUGGUGUUCUUCAAAAGCAGCCCAGCUCUCUGAGCUACAGCUUUGCCCACUUGUGUCUCCAGGAGUUCUUUGCAGCAAUGUCCUACAUCUUGGAGGACAGUGAGGAAAGACAUGGUGAUAUGGAAGAUGACAGAAUUGUGGGAACACUGGUAGAACAGUAUGGAAGAUACAACCUGUUUGAGGCACCCACUGUGCGCUUUCUAUUUGGUCUUUUGAGUAAAGAGGGAUUGAAAGAAAUGGAAAAGUUCUUUCACUGCAACUUUUCUAAGAAGACAAAGUUGAAGCUGCUAUGGAAGAUCCUGGCAAAAACCCAACCCUAUCAACCACCUUCUAUGGGUUUGCUCUACUGUCUGUAUGAAAAUCAGGAAAAGGAGCUCCUGACACACGUAAUGCAUGAUCUUCAAGAAACAAUAGUGCCUGACCCAAAUGACAUUGCACACACAGUGUUCCAGACAAAUGUGAAGCACCUGGUGAUACAGACAGACAUGGAGCUCAUGGUGGUCACUUUCUGCAUUCAGUUCUGCUGCCAUGUGAGGAGUCUCCAGGUGAAUAUGGAAAGACAGCAAGGAUAUGCACUGAUGGCCCCAAGGAUGGUCCUACUGCAGGAGGGCUGUAAAACCCUUAGAUACCCUGACUGCCAACUAAAGAUCUUGUGGCUUAUUGAAUGUGGCCUCACAUCCACACACUGCUCACUCCUGGCCGAAGUGCUCAGUGUCCACUCCAGCCUGACUGAGGUAGACCUGCAGCUGAAUGACCUGGGUAACCGUGGUGUGAGGCUGCUGUGUGAGAGGCUCAGGAAUCCUGAAUGCAACCUCAGCAUCCUGCGGCUGGACCAGGCCUCUCUCAGUGACCAAGUGAUGACAGAGCUCAGGACUCUGGAAGCAAAGACUGCAGACCUGCUCAUCUACAGCACAUGGAAGCCACAUGGAAUGGUCCCUACUACGAACAUGGAUAAAGAAGUAGGUGAUAGCCCAGCCUUAUUAAAGCAGCAGAGACAACAGUCAGAAGAGAAACGCAUGGAACCUCUGGGAACUGAGGACAACUUCAUGGGCCCUACAGGACCUGUGGCUACUGAGGUGGUAGACAGAGAGAGGAACAUGUACCUAGUUCAAUUGCCCAUGGCUGGUUCCUACCACUGUCCCAGUACAGGACUCCACUUUGUGGUGACAAGUGCAGUGACAAUAAGCAUUGAAUUCUGUGCCUGGAACCAAUACCUGGACAAGACUCCCUUUCAACACAGUCACAUGGUGGUUGGACCUCUGUUUGACAUCAAGGCUGAGCAAGGAGCUGUGACUGCAAUGUAUCUCCCUCAUUUUGUAGCUCUCCAAGAUAUGAUGGUGGACACCUCCUUGUUCCAUGUUGCUCACUUUCAAGAACAUGGGAUGGUCCUAGAAACCCCAGCAAGGGUGGGACAGCAUUAUGCAGUACUGGAAAACCCAAGCUUCUCCCCAAUAGGAGUUCUACUGAGAUUGAUUCCUGCUGUCAGACAACUCAUCCCUAUCACUUCAAUCACACUCAUCUACUAUCACCACUCUCUCGAGGACGUCACCUUUCACCUUUACCUGGUACCCAAUGACUGCACUAUUCGGAAGGCCAUUGAUGAUGAAGAAAUGAAGUUUCAAUUUGUGCGCAUAAACAAGCCACCCCCAGUAGAUGCUCUUUAUGUUGGUUCCCGCUAUAUCCUGUCUGGCUCAAAAGAGGUGGAAAUUAUCCCAAUGGAACUCGAACUGUGUUACCGAAGCCCAGGGGAAUCCCAGCUCUUCUCUGAGAUUUACACUGGACACAUGGGUUCAGGGAUUAAGCUGCAAAUCAGAGACAAGAGGUAUAUAAAGCUCAUAUGGGAGGCCUUGCUGAAACCAGAAUUUAACUUGGACCAUCUGUGUGACCAAAGGUUUUGUACUAUCCUGAAAAACAUAGUGAUCUCACCAGCAGGAGACCUCAGACCUGCUCUACCCAGGACUGCUUCAGCCCCCAAAGAUGCGCCUUCCUUGCUACACUUCAUGGACCAGCAUCGGGGGGAGCUGGUGACCUGAGUGACAUCAGUGGACCCUCUACUGGACAGGCUGCAUGGUCUGGUGCUGAGUGAAGAUUCUUAUGAGGCAGUGCGGGCUGAGACCACAAAUCAAGACAAGAUGAGGAAGCUCUUCAGCCUCAGCCAAUCCUGGAGUCAAGCCUGCAAAGACCAAUUCUACCAAGCUCUGAAGGAGACCCAUCCUCACCUGGUUAAGGACCUCCUUGAGAAACCAGGCAGGGUCUCUUUGUGA